rnacentral:rRNA from 1 species
CCUACGGGUGGCAACAGUGAGGAAUAUUGGUCAAUGGACGAGAGUCUGAACCAGCCAAGUAGCGUGAAGGAUGACUGCCCUAUGGGUUGUAAACUUCUUUUAUAUGGGAAUAAAAUGUUCCACGUGUGGGAUUUUGUAUGUACCAUAUGAAUAAGGAUCGGCUAACUCCGUGCCAGCAGCCGCGGUAAUACGGAGGAUCCGAGCGUUAUCCGGAUUUAUUGGGUUUAAAGGGAGCGUAGGUGGAUUGUUAAGUCAGUUGUGAAAGUUUGCGGCUCAACCGUAAGAUUGCAGUUGAAACUGGCAGUCUUGAGUACAGUAGAGGUGGGCGGAAUGCGUGGUGUAGCGGUGAAAUGCUUAGAUAUCACGAAGAACUCCGAUUGCGAAGGCAGUUCACUGGACUGCAACUGACACUGAGGCUCGAAAGUGUGGGUAUCAAACAGGAUUAGAUACCCUUGUAGUC